AUGAAGUGCUGGGCCAGUUGCUGGGCACCGGACAACAGAACGUUCUGUGACACCGGAAAGGUCCUGUACCUGCCCUGUCCAGCAAGGGAGCCACCAGCCUCCUGUGAGCCUCUACCGUGGGGACUGGAUCUCCCACCUCCGGGAAGCGCCGGCCAGGACCGGGUGCCGAGACAGAAGGCGACCCCGGGGGAGUCGUGCGGACACUCCACUGCCCCUAAACGUCCGGGAGGUGACCCUUCCUGGCCCAGGUGACCCUGACCGGGGCCCAGAGGCCCUGCUCUAACAGCAGAUGCUACCUGGGAGACAGGGCCAGCGCGGACACAGGACUGUGGGACAGUGUGCCUCUCAGUAUGGUUCCUCUGCUCGCCCCUAAAAUGGCCCCUGGUGGCUGAAGGAAUAAACGCGGAGAAGUACCUGGCA
rnacentral:lncRNA from 1 species